AGAGUUUGAUCAUGGCUCAGAUUGAACGCUGGCGGCAGGCCUAACACAUGCAAGUCGAACGGUAACAGGAAACAGCUUGCUGUUUCGCUGACGAGUGGCGGACGGGUGAGUAAUGUCUGGGAAGCUGCCUGAUGGAGGGGGAUAACUACUGGAAACGGUAGCUAAUACCGCAUAACGUCGCAAGACCAAAGAGGGGGACCUUCGGGCCUCUUGCCAUCGGAUGUGCCCAGAUGGGAUUAGCUAGUAGGUGGGGUAACGGCUCACCUAGGCGACGAUCCCUAGCUGGUCUGAGAGGAUGACCAGCCACACUGGAACUGAGACACGGUCCAGACUCCUACGGGAGGCAGCAGUGGGGAAUAUUGCACAAUGGGCGCAAGCCUGAUGCAGCCAUGCCGCGUGUAUGAAGAAGGCCUUCGGGUUGUAAAGUACUUUCAGCGGGGAGGAAGGGAGUAAAGUUAAUACCUUUGCUCAUUGACGUUACCCGCAGAAGAAGCACCGGCUAACUCCGUGCCAGCAGCCGCGGUAAUACGGAGGGUGCAAGCGUUAAUCGGAAUUACUGGGCGUAAAGCGCACGCAGGCGGUUUGUUAAGUCAGAUGUGAAAUCCCCGGGCUCAACCUGGGAACUGCAUCUGAUACUGGCAAGCUUGAGUCUCGUAGAGGGGGGUAGAAUUCCAGGUGUAGCGGUGAAAUGCGUAGAGAUCUGGAGGAAUACCGGUGGCGAAGGCGGCCCCCUGGACGAAGACUGACGCUCAGGUGCGAAAGCGUGGGGAGCAAACAGGAUUAGAUACCCUGGUAGUCCACGCCGUAAACGAUGUCGACUUGGAGGUUGUGCCCUUGAGGCGUGGCUUCCGGAGCUAACGCGUUAAGUCGACCGCCUGGGGAGUACGGCCGCAAGGUUAAAACUCAAAUGAAUUGACGGGGGCCCGCACAAGCGGUGGAGCAUGUGGUUUAAUUCGAUGCAACGCGAAGAACCUUACCUGGUCUUGACAUCCACAGAACUUUCCAGAGAUGGAUUGGUGCCUUCGGGAACUGUGAGACAGGUGCUGCAUGGCUGUCGUCAGCUCGUGUUGUGAAAUGUUGGGUUAAGUCCCGCAACGAGCGCAACCCUUAUCCUUUGUUGCCAGCGGUCCGGCCGGGAACUCAAAGGAGACUGCCAGUGAUAAACUGGAGGAAGGUGGGGAUGACGUCAAGUCAUCAUGGCCCUUACGACCAGGGCUACACACGUGCUACAAUGGCGCAUACAAAGAGAAGCGACCUCGCGAGAGCAAGCGGACCUCAUAAAGUGCGUCGUAGUCCGGAUUGGAGUCUGCAACUCGACUCCAUGAAGUCGGAAUCGCUAGUAAUCGUGGAUCAGAAUGCCACGGUGAAUACGUUCCCGGGCCUUGUACACACCGCCCGUCACACCAUGGGAGUGGGUUGCAAAAGAAGUAGGUAGCUUAACCUUCGGGAGGGCGCUUACCACUUUGUGAUUCAUGACUGGGGUGAAGUCGUAACAAGGUAACCGUAGGGGAACCUGCGGUUGGAUCACCU
rnacentral:rRNA from 1 species